CAGUAGCCACGGUAAUACGAAGGGGGCUAGCGUUGUUCGGAUUUACUGGGCGUAAAGCGCACGUAGGCGGAUCGAUCAGUCAGGGGUGAAAUCCCAGAGCUCAACUCUGGAACUGCCUUUGAUACUGUCGAUCUGGAGUAUGGAAGAGGUAAGUGGAAUUCCGAGUGUAGAGGUGAAAUUCGUAGAUAUUCGGAGGAACACCAGUGGCGAAGGCGGCUUACUGGUCCAUUACUGACGCUGAGGUGCGAAAGCGUGGGGAGCAAACAGGAUUAGAUACCCGCGUAGUCCCUGUCUCUUAUAC
rnacentral:rRNA from 1 species